ensembl:misc_RNA Y_RNA Y RNA
GGCUGGUCCAAUGGUAGUGGGUUAUCAGAACUUAUUAACAUUAGUGUCACUAAACUUGGUAUACAACCCCCCACUGCUAAAUUUCACUGGCUUUAA